GGGGGUUUUCGGCGUGCCGGCGAGUGGCGAACGGGUGAGUUUAGCGUCGGAACGUACAGAGUAAGGGGGGAUAACUGUCCGAAAGGACAGCUAAUACCGCAUACGCUCUGAGGAGGAAAGCGGGGGACCUUCGGGCCUCGCGUUAUUCGAGCGGCCGACGUCUGAUUAGCUAGUUGGUGAGGUAAAGGCUCACCAAGGCGACGAUCAGUAGCGGGUCUGAGAGGAUGAUCCGCCACACUGGGACUGAGACACGGCCCAGACUCCUACGGGAGGCAGCAGUGGGGAAUUUUGGACAAUGGGCGCAAGCCUGAUCCAGCCAUGCCGCGUGUCUGAAGAAGGCCUUCGGGUUGUAAAGGACUUUUGUCGGGGAGGAAAUCCUCUGGGUUAAUACCCUAGGGGGAUGACAGUACCUGAAGAAUAAGCACCGGCUAACUACGUGCCAGCAGCCGCGGUAAUACGUAGGGUGCAAGCGUUAAUCGGAAUUACUGGGCGUAAAGCGUGCGCAGGCGGUUGUGCAAGUCUGAUGUGAAAUCCCCGGGCUUAACCUGGGAACUGCAUUGGAGACUGCACGGCUAGAGUGCGUCAGAGGGGGGUGGAAUUCCGCGUGUAGCAGUGAAAUGCGUAGAGAUGCGGAGGAACACCGAUGGCGAAGGCAGCCCCCUGGGAUGACACUGACGCUCA
rnacentral:rRNA from 1 species